UUUAUCGCCGAGUGGAACGACACGAAAUUUAUCGUGAGGAGAAUCGAGAAUCAGUAACAAAGUGUGUACGUGGGAAUUGGAAAAUAUUCGCACAGAAAAUUGCGAGCGGAUAAUUGGGCCGCGGCGGGACUAAACUAAAUGCUCGAUACUCGCGAAUUACUAGCGCGUAUUAGCGUUCUAUGCAUGCAACCACCGUGACGAGUUCGACGAACUUCCCUUCUCUUGUUACCGCUUCCGGCAGA